rnacentral:lncRNA from 1 species
GACAUAGGAGAGUAGACAGCUUGCAUUACAACAUGGGAGGGUGAGUACCAUAUCAGGAGACUGACCAUGUCUCAGAUACCCAUGGACAAUGCCACUCCUCACUUGGUAAAUGACAAGAGUGAAGCUCACUUCAGUUGGUGUGAGCCUGGCCCUGUUGGAGUAGGUGUGUCACUGUGGGUAUGGGCUAAAGACCCUUAUCCUAGCUGCCUGGAAGCCAGUCUAAUGCUAACAGCCUUCAGAUGAAGAUGUAGAGCUCUCAGUUUUUCAUGCACCAUGCUUGCCUGGAUGCUGCUAUGUUCCUGCCUUGAUAAUGGACUGAACCUCUGAACCUGUAAGCCAGCCCCAAGUAAAUGUAAAUCCUUUAUAAGA